AGCCCUCUGUAUCCGUCCUGAGAUUUCGUCAGCAACCAACCCAUUGGGGCUGAUGUAAUUCGCCAAAUAGGUGAAGUA
rnacentral:pre_miRNA from 1 species